rnacentral:rRNA from 1 species
AACGAACGCUGGCGGCAUGCCUAACACAUGCAAGUCGAACGAGACCUUCGGGUCUAGUGGCGCACGGGUGCGUAACGCGUGGGAACCUGCCCUUAGGUUCGGAAUAACUCCCCGAAAGGGGUGCUUAUACCGGAUAAUGUCUUCGGACCAAAGAUUUAUCGCCUUUGGAUGGGCCCGCGUUGGAUUAGCUAGUUGGUAGGGUAAAAGCCUACCAAGGCGACGAUCCAUAGCUGGUCUGAGAGGAUGAUCAGCCACACUGGGACUGAGACACGGCCCAGACUCCUACGGGAGGCAGCAGUGGGGAAUAUUGGACAAUGGGCGAAAGCCUGAUCCAGCAAUGCCGCGUGAGUGAUGAAGGCCUUAGGGUUGUAAAGCUCUUUUACCCGGGAUGAUAAUGACAGUACCGGGAGAAUAAGCUCCGGCUAACUCCGUG